rnacentral:rRNA from 1 species
GUGGGGAAUAUUGGGCAAUGGGCGAAAGCCUGACCCAGCAACGCCGCGUGAAGGAAGAAGGUUUUCGGAUCGUAAACUUCUAUCCUUGGUGAAGAUAAUGACGGUAGCCGAGAAGGAAGCCCCGGCUAACUACGUGCCAGCAGCCGCGGUAAUACGUAGGAGGCAAGCGUUGUCCGGAAUGAUUGGGCGUAAAGGGCGCGUAGGCGGCCUGGUAAGUCUGGAGUGAAAGUCCUGCUUUUAAGGUGGGAAUUGCUUUGGAUACUGUCGGGCUUGAGUGCAGGAGAGGUAAGUGGAAUUCCCGGUGUAGCGGUGAAAUGCGUAGAGAUCGGGAGGAACACCAGUGGCGAAGGCGACUUACUGGACUGUAACUGACGCUGAGGCGCGAAAGUGUGGGGAGCAAACAGGAUUAGAUACCCGGUAGUCC